UUACGGCCACAUCAGGUUGAAAACACAGGUUUCCGUACGAUCACCGAAGUUAAGCAACGUCGAGCCUAGACACUACUUGGAUAUAUGUCCGCGGAGGUAUAGCAGGGGCUGUAA